rnacentral:tRNA from 1 species
AGCUUCGUUGCUCAGCUGGUAGAGCACUUGCCGGGUUGAGGCACCCUGUGUCUGCCGCUGGUUCGAAUCCAGCCGAAGCCC